CGUGGCGGGCUCGGGCUCUCCCGGCUGGGACCCCGCGGCGGGCUGGGCCAGGGUGGAGAACCACGAGGACAUGGCCGACUUGGCGCUGGUCAAGGCUCCGCCCACCGACUGACCUGCGGGGGACAGCCAAGCUUCUUCCCUCGCUCGCUGCUGUUCACCGAGCUGUGCCGAGAACCACAGACCAGUGUUUCAGGUCAAGAUGAAAGUGGUCCCACCUUCCUGGUAGUUGUGAGCUCCGUCUGGAAGAGCCAGGAAAGGAAGGUACUUCCACUCCUCGGGCAGCGUGUUGCUGUCGUGACCUUCGUGCGGCAUCAGCGGCGGGUAGGAAAACUCCACCUGCCGUGAAAAAGGAGGAAAAUAUUAGAGGUGGCAAUGAUGAAUCAGCAGUUUAUACACACACACACUUUUUUUUUUUUUUUUAAUAACCAUGUAAUUACUCCUCAUUGUCUUGUUGGGCUUUAAAAAAAAACAUAUUUUAUAAUAUUACAGGAGGUCCCGGAAGUACAGUAGAGGAGGGAAUAGAAAGACCGAAACUACUCCAUCAAGUCAAAAACAGGCUCGCUUUUUUGUGAGCUGAUGAACGGCAGCUAAUUUGCCAGCCAGGGCAGUGCUGCCAACUCACCCUGGCUGGCGAGUGUGGAAGUAUUAUUGUAGCAAAACUACUUGCAAAUGCGUAUCUAACUUGGUGUACUAAUUUGUGUGUCUCUAUCUCAAUCUGUGUGCGACUGUGCGUAGUCAGAUAC